CAUGUAGGCGGUUUCUUAAGUCGGACGUGAAAGCUCCUGGCUCAACUGGGAGAGGCCGUUCGAAACUAGGUCACUUGAGGAUGGUAGAGGAGAGUGGAAUUCCCGGUGUAGUGGUGAAAUGCGUAGAUAUCGGGAGGAACACCAGUGGCGAAGGCGGCUCUCUGGGCCAUUCCUGACGCUGAGAUGCGAAAGCUAGGGGAGAGAACG
rnacentral:rRNA from 1 species